CAGUCGCCGCGGUAAUACGGAGGGUGCAAGCGUUAAUCGGAAUUACUGGGCGUAAAGCGCACGCAGGCGGUUUGUCGAGUCAGAUGUGAAAUCCCCGAGCUUAACUUGGGAACUGUAUUUGAAACUGGCAAGCUAGAGUCUUGUAGAGGGGGGUAGAAUUCCGGGUGUAGCGGUGAAAUGCGUAGAGAUCUGGAGGAAUACCGGUGGCGAUGGCGGCCCCCUGGACAAAGACUGACGCUCAGGUGCGAAAGCGUGGGGAGCAAACAGGAUUAGAUACCCGUGUAGUCCCUGUCUCUUAUAC
rnacentral:rRNA from 1 species